CGGACGGGUGAGUAACACGUGGAUAACCUACCUAUAAGACUGGGAUAACUUCGGGAAACCGGAGCUAAUACCGGAUAAUAUUUUGAACCGCAUGGUUCAAAAGUGAAAGACGGUCUUGCUGUCACUUAUAGAUGGAUCCGCGCUGCAUUAGCUAGUUGGUAAGGUAACGGCUUACCAAGGCAACGAUGCAUAGCCGACCUGAGAGGGUGAUCGGCCACAACUGGAACUGAGACACGGUCCAG
rnacentral:rRNA from 1 species